GACGAACGCUGGCGGCGUGCUUAACACAUGCAAGUCGAACGGAAAGGCCCUGCUUUUGUGGGGUGCGCGAGUGGCGAACGGGUGAGUAACACGUGAGUAACCUGCCCUUGACUGUGGGAGAACUUCAGGAAACUGGGGCUAAUACCGGAUAGGAGCUCCUGCUGCAUGGGGGGGGAUGGAAAGUGUCGGCGGUUGGGGAUGGACUCGCGGCUUAUCAGCUUGUUGGUGGGGUAGUGGCUUACCAAGGCUUUGACGGGUAGCCGGCCUGGGAGGGUGACCGGCCCCAUUGGGCCUGAGGUACGAGCCAGACUGCUACGUGGGGCAGCGGUGGGAGAUAUUGCACGAUGGGCGGAGGCCUGAUGCAGCAGCGCCGCGUGCGGGAUGACGGCCUUCGGGUUGUAAACCGCUUUCGCCUGUGACGAAGCGUGAGUGACGGUAAUGGGUAAAGAAGCACCGGCUAACUACGUG
rnacentral:rRNA from 1 species